UACGUAGGCAGCGAGCGUUGUUCGGAGUUACUGGGCGUAAAGGGUGCGUAGGCGGCGCGGUAAGUCGGGUGUGAAAUCUCGGGGCUUAACUCCGAAACUGCAUUCGAUACUGCCGUGCUUGAGGACUGGAGAGGAGACUGGAAUUUACGGUGUAGCGGUGAAAUGCGUAGAUAUCGUAAGGAAGACCAGUGGCGAAGGCGGCAUCCUGGCCCGCUACUGACACUCAGACACGACAGCAUGGGGAGCGAACGGG
rnacentral:rRNA from 1 species